AACAAACCAUUUACACACACACACUCACUCACACUAGCAACUAAUUAUUACAAAGUGUGGCAUGUGGAGCUGUGAGCAGAGGGACUGCCUCCCAACUGCCCAAGAGUGAGGGAGCACCGAGUUGGGAGCACUAAAAGGACAUCAUCUGACGAGAAGGUGGAGAUGCUCUGUCCCGAGGGACAGGCUGAGGGUAGGUUGAUCAGGAAAUUUUCUGGAGGUUCACCCUCAACGCGGUGGGGAUGAGAAAGUGCCGCAGGCUCUNNNNNNNNNNNNNNNNNNNNNNNNNNNNNNNNNNNNNNNAAUCCUAAAAGCUAGAGCCUGGAAUGCCCUGGCUGACAUCUCAGGACAAAGCUCAGUCUCCCAGAGACAGCUCUGCCGGGCCUGGCGUAUGUGUGGGAGGAAUGGGAAGACUGGGGCCCGGGGAGGCACUGGGGGAGCUCAGGGGGCUUCAGCGAGAGGGGUGAUGACUUGGCGGUGUGCCCCAUUCAGGGAAAACUGCUGUGUGUGUGUACACAUGUGUGUGCACACCAGUUGGCACAGUAAUUCUCAGGUGGAUCCAGGCAAGCUGACCGCCCACAGGUUCAACACAUUCCCCUCUGUGGGAAGAAGACGUUUCUCUCUGCUCAUCCAGCUUUGUCUCUAAGAAUUAAAUUGACACGAGAGAGAUGAACAGGAGAAAGUCAACAGAGCUUAAUAACAUAUACAUGGGAGAGACUCAGGAAAACUGCAUAACCCACCAAAACAGGUUCAUAACUAAAACCCUCACCUUAAGUACCAUCUUCAGCUAAAGAUAUAAGAGCAUGUUGGGGGUAGUGGUCUGGGACCUCAAAGGGGAGUCAGGCAACUGACAUGGAGACAGAAAAGCAAGUGUUUGAUAGGCAAAUGUUUGCUGGGUGGGCAGAGAUGGUGGGCCAUAGAGAGGGGUUCUACCAGACUUUGCUGGUCCCUCCCUCUCCACCACUGGUUCAUGCUGUAGUCGUCUAUGGUGAUGGCCCCCGUCCCAGGACAGGCCCUCUGUCUACACUCUUUGGGCGGUCAGGGGGAAGGUCAAAGUUUCUUCCUGAGUCUUUUGGGUCAUGAUUGUUUCCAGCUCAAAAUAGCCCACGUGUGAAAGAGACACUUUGUGGGGGAUACAUUUUGUUCUCC
rnacentral:lncRNA from 1 species